rnacentral:lncRNA from 10 species
AGACUGUCAUCCUGAGGAGUGUAAUGAAGCAUACAAUCAAGUUGUUAGAGUUUGAAAAGGUUAAAGCAGCUUCAGGGAUCACUAUUUGUGCUUCUUGGGUACUGGAACGUCAUGCCAGUAAUAAGCGAUAUGCAAGCCAAAGACAAAGAAGCAAUUAGUUCUCUGCAUUGGUGAAAGGCUGCCCAGCUACAGAGUGGAUGGGGAAGGCCGUGAAUUCUUUUCCUUUGAGGCUGAACUGAGUCACAAAGACUCAAGCCAGUGAAACUGUUCAUUUUCCAUGCUGCUAUCUUACACCACUUUAUAUACAUCAUAAUUAUGAAGAUACACCCCCAAGGGUUUUGUUCUGAAAUUAUUCAACCCCCAACUCCAAAUGCCCUAGCAGUAUCCCAGUGUUCAUAAAGGGUGAUUACAGUAUCAGCAGUACCAGCCACCUGGGAACUUGUUGGAAAACAAAAUCUGGAAAGCCAGUCCCCUAUCCCUAAGCCUAACCUAAAACCCCUAAGGUGGGCAGAUUCAGAAGUCCAAUUAAGCAGCUCUCCAUGUGAUUCUGAAGCUUGGCUGCAGGUUAUGGAGGUUCAUCUGUGAGUAUUUUCAGAUUGUCACAUCUACAAUCACAUCUCAGUUAAUUAAGAGGAGCGAGUUGCAGGGAAAAG